rnacentral:lncRNA from 1 species
UCUUCCUUCCUUCCAACUCUUUUUUUAAUUAUUUUUCCCCUUUUUUUUAAGUUUCUAAUAUGUCAACUUAUCCUUCUGUUGUCAUUUUAUAUAUAUUAAUUUUCAUUAUUCAACUUUAAAAAGUUACAAAAUAGUCACUAAAUUAUUUAAAAUUUUUUAUUUAAGUCAUUGACCUAUUAAAUUUUUUUAAAAGUUCGGCUGAUGAGCUCCAAGCGACAAUUUGACGAUUGGUAUGGUGGAUUAGUGCCCAUCGACAAUGAAGAACAUAUAUUAGAUCUAAGUUGAGCGGACGGUCAGUGUUGGAGAUCGGAGAAAAAAGUUGUUUUAAUUUGGGUUCGCAAAUUCAUGACGUUAAAGAUUGUUUCAUAAUAAUAAAAAAUAUAUACUAUAGAAGAAAAGAAGAAGGAGAACUUUCGGUUAGUGCAUGUGGUGUGAAUAGAGAAGGCUAAACAAUAACGAUUUCAAUAGUUUGAUAACUUAAACGAAAACUUUCGAAUAGUUCAGUGACCAAAAUAUACAUUCUAAUAGUUUACUAACUUUAAUUUACCCGGAAGAUAUUAAUAUAAAAAAUAUAAGUUAUAUAUAAAAUAAAUAUAUACUCCAUAUAUGUAUGAAAGUUGAAACCCAAGGAAGUGAAAAACAAUGAUAUUAGUCAACUAUAAGAAAAUAUAGGAAAGGUGGUGGGUCGUUUAUUUGAUUGUUCCACACUUGUAAUCAUAUGAAAAUGACCCAAGCAAAAUGCUUAAAUUAUUAUUUUUAUAAUUAUUUAUUAAAAAAAAUGGGUGUUAUGAUCCAUAUGUCUAAAAACAAAUAGAAGUUUCUGCUUUGCUGCUGGGUUUACAUCAAAGCCCUUUUUAUAUAAACAUUCUUUUACAUUUUUAAUUCCCUUAUAUUCUGGAAAAUAUAUGAAGUUUAUGAACUAAUAUUUUGUUAUCAUCUACUUUAAUUUGGAUAGUAACGAUGGUGGUAUCAAAUAUUAUUAGUUUUAUUCGAGAAAUUUUUGAAGUGUUAUUCACUUAGACGAAUGCUAUUAUUCCCGAUCAAGGUUUUCUUGGUAGUAUAGUUGCGCAUACUCUUAUAUGCUCACAAUUUCUUGGUAGGCUCAAGCACUCGGCUCUUGUCAAAGUAAAGACAAAGCUGUGACGGAUUAUAAUUAAAUUGGAACUAUUGAUGAAUUUUUAAAUUUAACCAUUGAAAAAAAUGAAAGGGAGGUUGCAACUGAAGAAGGGAAAGAAAAGGAAAAAAAAGGGUGAAGGCGUGAAUGAGAACACACACAUUCAUGAUUAAACCAAAUGCAUGAUUAAACUAAUUAACCAACAAUUAGACUUUCUAAUUAGAGGCUGUUAAGACUUUGUAAUUGGUCAGCUGACUUUAGCUUGCAAUUUCGUCAGCAAAUUGUUGAUGUUGUUAAGCUAUGACUUACGAAAUGAUGGUGGCUAGAUGAAGGAUGAAAACUUUUCAAACAUUGCAGCCAUGUGGCAUAGAAUAAUUGGUUUGGAAAUGAAAAAGACGUCAUCAUCCACUAAGUCAUGUUCUAAUUUGUUUGUUUAUUUUGGCGUUGUAUCAGUCUAACCAACUUUCUAAGUGAUUACAUACCUGUGAAAUGAAAAUGAUUGUUGUUGCUUUCCAACUAUGCUUCUCUUUUCCACUUUCGCCUCACGGUAUCAGAAUACAAAUUAUUCGAGUUUGAUUCGAAAAAAACUCAAAUCCCAUUCAAUAACUAUCAAACCAAGCUUAAACUAUCAUACUUGAUCUCGAGUACGCAAAUUGAUACACAAGUUUAACUAAACUCAAGUAGUUCAAUUAUGUCUCAAACAAAAUUUAAGCUUAAAAAUUAAUGUUUGAUCAAGCAUGAGCUUACAAAUAUUGAACCGAAUUUUGGCUCGAUUACAUCCUAUUAUUAUGACUCUUUUAGAGGAUCCCAAUUAAAUCUGGAGCCAAACUCAAUCAAACUCAACUCAAUUUUCUACAUUCAUCUAAAGUCUUAAAAAAAACAUUCGUCUCCACCCGAUUUAAACAAACAUGGGUUCAUUCGUUUCUUCUUUGAUCUUUCUUUCCUACCAUUCAAGCAAAACCCAAGACUAUUUUACUGAUUCCGCAUGCGCAAAAGCAUGUAUCUUAGUUUAUUUAUGCCAUUGUUCUAUGGCACCACCUGUCUUGGGAUCUAAGAUACAAAAUAAAUAACAAACAUGUUUUUAAAAAGGAUUUAAUUUAAAAAAAAAAUCAUUCAUCUUCACAUCUCAACUAAAUAAUUGUGAUUGGUUACCAACAAAUUUCACCACGUGCUUUUAAUUCGAUUUCUAACCUUUAAAAAGAGACAAUAACACAAACAAGAUUAAAGACAAAGGUUUGGUCUGAAUCAGUGUAGGAAUUUAAAGAACAUCUAAGGGAAGAAAGCCAAUUUGACAAUUAUUUGAACCAUUGUUAAGCAUAAAUUCUAUCAUGAAGAAAGGUACAGAGAGGGUACAAAAGAUAACUUGAAGAUGAAGGAACUUAAUGAAGGAAGUUGGUGAAAUAGACAAUUUGCAGAUACCCUUUUUUUGCUAGUUGUUGAACUCACUUUUAAAUCUUGUCAACUUCUAUAUAUAUAUAUGAAAACAUGACCUCAUCUCUCACUGAAUAUCACACAAAGAACUUUGUUAAGCAACAUCUUAACAGGAGAAGUUGAUAUCUUAGCUCUCUUACAAGGAGUAUUCUAUGUUUAAGACAUAUUGCCUACUGUUUAGGAAAAAAAAGGGACCAUUAUGCAUAAAUAAACUUAAAAGCUAAGUUAUGGUGCAAUAGGGUAGCAUUACAAACCUAUUAUAAACGUGCUAUAGAGGCCCACAAGUUAAGUAAACUUCUAGAUUAAAUUGGGAUUUUACAAUCCCUCUGUUCUCUAAUGAGAGACCUUGGAUGACCCAAGAGAAAAUGAUUCUAACAUGCAUGAACCAUACUAAAACCGAAUCGCCCAAAGCAAUAGCAUAUUUUACAUAAAGACUACAAUUUUGACGGUUUCAAUGAGUAACUAAUAACUGCUAAAUGCUAAUCGUUUUUCGAAUAUCAAAUGUGACAGUAAGACUUCAGAACCAUACAUUCUGUGGGUUUUAAGGAAUAAAUAAUUUAAGCCAGCAUCUUAAUUCCAUUUAGAGAACACAGGAAAUGCCAAUAACCAACAAGAUCAUCACCUUGCAAGGACAAUCAAUAAGCACACUUAACAAUAUGCAGUCACUCCAUGGACCAUACUAAUCAAACGCCUUUAACACCAUAACAAGACCAAACAAUAAGACUUCAAAACUAUAUGUACUGUGGUUUUUAAUGAAUAAACUACGUAAGCCAACAUCUAAAUCCAUUUAGAGAACACAUAAAAUGCCAAUAAUCAACAGGAUCAUCACAUUGCAUAGACAAUAAGCACACUUAACAAUAUGCAGCCAUUCCAUGGACCAUACUAAUCAAAGUCCUUUAACACCAUAGCCUAUGACCAAAUAUGACAAUAAGACUUCAGAACCAUACAUUCUGUGGUUUUUAAUGAAUAAACAAUUUAAGCCAACAUCUUAAUUCCAUUUAGAGAACACAUGAAAUGCCAAUAAUCAACAAGAUCAUCACAUUGCAAUGACAAUCAAUAAGCGCACUUAACAAUAAAGAAAAUACCAAAUUAAACCAGUAUGAUUACUUCAUUGAGGAACCACAAAGUAUUCUUAGUUCAACAAUCACUUUGGUAAUUCACCAAAACAAAACAGCAUCUUGUUCUUUCAAAUUCAAAAAAAUAAAAAUACUAACAUACUACAGAAGGCUCAUAGAGGGACAAAGUCCUUCCUACUUUACACCAUACAAAAUUCUUCAACGGUACUGCAAAGGAAAAAAAGACAAGAAAACACCCAAGUUUAAGAAACUGUUGAUAUGAACAAUUAUGAAGAUUGAAGAUUAAGAUAACGUUAACCAUCAAAAGAGUAAUACCUUGAUGAAUCCGAUUUCCUUGGCAUUGCUACGGAAGCACUGCCUGCAACACAUGAGACCGUACUUCCUGAUGAUGGCAUGGGGGUUCCCACAAACACGGCUAUCAAAACAAAACAAAACAAAACAAACAACCCUAAGUCAUUGUAACAUAAUAAAACACAACAAGACAAUAACAGAUUUGACAAAAGCCUAAGAUGCUACUACUCUCACAUUUAUUACUAAUAAUCUCGAACAAAGCAAAUUCCCAGCCACUAACACUUAUAUGCAAAAAUAAAAUUGCUACAUCGUUCGAUUAGGUAUCGAAGAAAUCAACAACCUAAAUUUUGAUUUCAUUCCGUUGUACUACUAUAUGCCUAAAAUAAAACAUCAGUCGGAAAACUAGUAAUACAUGCUAAGGAGUUAACAAAAAUAGCUCUUGGGAAUUUUGCAAUGCAAUGCAAUGCAAAAAAAAAAAACAGAGAGAGAUGAAACAGUUACCAGGCGCGAGAGCCAGGGCCGUAGGUUUGGGGGUGAGAGUUCCAGACGUUAGAGUGACCCAUGAUUGCUCUGAAAAUGCGAGAGAAAUGAGACUGGAAUUGAAAACCCUAGAUUUCACGGAGGUGUUUGGAUCAUUUAGAAAAUGAUUAUAUAUAUGCGGAGCCUAAAACCCUAGUUUCCGAAUUAAGCGGGGCCCCGAUUUGCUGACCCGUAUACAGCUGUGGGUUUGAUUGUUCCAUAAAAGCCUAUUUAGGCCCAAUAACAUCUCCUGGCCAAACUAGUUUAUAAAUGGCCCAAUAAUAUGAUUAAAUUAAAGAUGAUAUAUAAAUGAUUUAAAUUGAAGUUGCAUUUUUAAAUCGGAAAAACACAUUAUUUAAUUAAAAAACAUAGGGUAAACUAUAUUAUUAGUUACUAAAUUAUGAUUAAGUUUUAUUUUUAGUCACUUAACUAAAAAAAGUUACAAAUUGGUGACUGAAUUAUUCUAAAGUUUUCAUUUAAGUUUUUAAACCGUUAAAAUCGAUGUUAUAUGGCUUUCUCUGUUCGAAAUAACUAAACCAGUUGGAAGCUCUCUUCCCCCUUCUCAUCUACAGUUUAGUUUUUGUCAUGAAAUAACUUUGGACAUCAUGAAUAUGCAAACCGAAAUUCAAACAACUUUUUUCUCUAAUAUCUGACAUUGACCGUUAGAUCGACUUGGAUUUAAGGGAUGCUCUUCUACUCAUUGAUUGGUACUAAUCUACCGAACUGAUCGUCAAAUCGUCACUUGGAGCUCACUGACGGAACUUUUUUUAAGAAAAAGCUUAAUAGCUCAAUGACUUAGAUAAAAACUUUUGUAUAGUUUAGUGACUUAAAUGAAAACUUUUGAAUGGUUUAGUGAUCAAGUUGUAACUUUUUUUAGUUAAAUGAUCAAAAUGAAAAUUUAACCAUAAUUUAGUGACUAAGGGUAGAAUGUACCCAAAAAUAAAAGCAUGGAACUAAAUUGAAGGAUAUUUUAACCCUAAAAGACUCGUCUUUUGCUGGCAGGCUUCAUGGCGAACCGAGCGGGCUCUUCAUCGUCACGCCUGGUAACCAUUGAUUUCAUCACUAAUUGAUCUCUAAAUACAGCUUCACUUGAAAAAUAACCAUCGACACAUUUGUUCUUUAACACUUCUGCAACUAUUCUGCUACUGAAUUUUCUUGAGCAUUCCAUUUCCCAGUAGUUUCUUCCAUUUUCACUAGUUUUUUUUUUUAAUUCAUUUGCGUUUUCAGGAAACCCUUCACGAAGAAGAUGAUUACGACUCAUACGGCGCCGAAUCAGGAUGGGUGGAAGCUAAAACGCACUGUGAUCACUUGCCUUCCCUAUCUUCUGAUCUCACUCACAUUCCAAUCCCUAGCACUCCCUGCAGCAGGUCAUUAUCCCCUAUGUUUUUUGAAUUCUAUAAUUCUUGUUAAACUUCUUUAAUUCAUGUCCUUGUUUGGUUGAUUAUUUUGAUACUUCUAAUAAAAAAUUGGGUUUAGACAUUUAGUUUUGUAACAUAUUUGCAGUUAAUUUUUUGGCUUAAUUGCCUAUACCUGAAGUGAUCUUCUGAUUCAUAUUGAGGGACUAUUAAUAAUUGGCGAAUCUAGGAAUACAUGGUUAAGGGGAUCCAAGAUUAAAUUAUAAAUUUUUGUGUUAAAUUGAAUCAUUAAGCUUUUAGAAUAGCUAAAAUGCAAUUUUUAUAUUUUAAUCAAGGGAGGCUAAGGUCCUGCCUAUGGCAUGUAAAUGAGAUACCAGUGCUUAUAAGGGAUUCGAGUUCAACUUGAAAAUUUUGAAUUCAAUUUGGUAUUUAUAGAGUGAGCUCAAGCUUGCUAUCAAUCAAGCCAGCAAAAUUUGAGCAUUUUAAUACUCAAUUCAAAUGGAUCAUGAGCCUAAUCGAGUUUUCUUUUUUAGUACAUUUUUAUAUUAUCAUGUAGAAAGAGCUUAACUCCGAACAAGCUUAAUCAAGCUAGAGUUCGAGCUUGAAUACGAAAAUUGAUCAACAAGCUUAGUUUAAGCUCAAGCUUGAGUUUAGAAAUUCAUGUUCAAGUUGAGCUUGAGACAAGUAUUGAGUCCUGAACUUUGAGUCGAGUUUGAGCUUGAACUUGUCACUAAUCGAGUUCUGCUUGACUCGAUUACACCUGUAGGCCCCUGCUUGCCCUCCUUUGCAUCCACCUCUGCUAUUAGUAUUUUAAGUAAUUGAGCUACUAAAACAUCUCUGAAGUUUGCAUUUUUAGGAUUCUUUAAUGUAGAUUUUUAGGGCAAGAUCAUACGAAUUCAUUAUCCUAAUCUUACAAAACAUUUUAUGCAUACAAGGUGCCAGCACCCAAGUGAGAAUUGGUUAUGCUUGUCCUGCAAAGUUGUGCUUUGUAGCCGUUUUGUGAAUAAGCAUAUGCUUGAGCAUUAUCAGCAAACAACCCAUUCCAUAGCGCUCAGUUUUAGGUAUGUAGUUAUAAUUGCCUUCUUUUUUAACUUCCCAUUUUGCUAUAUAUUUGUUGCUCGAGAAAGAGAAAGUAUCUACGGAAGUUUUUCUCGGUAACUUCUUUUUUCUUGGUUGUGUGAAUCCAGUGACCUGUCAGUUUGGUGUUUUGCUUGUGAUUCUUAUCUCGAUGCUCAAUUGAUUCAGCAACUGCGACCUUUUCAUGAGACAGCUUACAUAUUGAAAUUUGGUCAAGCCCCUCCUUUUCGGUCUGUUGAAUCUUCUCGGGUGGAAGAUAAACCGGCCAUGGAUGUGCCAUCAAGCAGUUGAAUCUGGUAUGGUUUUUAGACCGAAGGGCUGUAAUGGCAAAAGAAGGCUAGUUUGGAAUUGAAUCAAACAAUAAAUUAGUUGAAUUUAAUUAUAUGAGUUCUGUUCUAUGCAUACUGAUGGCUAGAAAUAGAUGGCUUUUUCAGGUUCAUAUUGCCUCUUCCAAAUACAAAACCACAUAUAUUUACUCAGUCUAGGUUAAGGCAGAGAAAAUUUUGCAUACCUUAUUCAGCUGUUGAGAUCUUGCUGCCCUUAUGAAUUGUUUCAAUCUCAACACAUUUAAUAAUUUACACAAACAUUUGAUCUUCUGCCCAUAUAAAUUUACUCAGUCUAGGUUUUUAUCUGAAUUGUUCUUUGAUAUUGAAUAAGUCUUCAUUAGACGACCAGGCAUUCUGUUACACAGAAUUUGCUGCCAUGUCAUAGACCUUGUAUUACUAAGGUAACCUGUGUGUUUCGGUUGUCGAGCAUUUGUUCAAGUUUCACUAAUGCACCUGCAUUCGUGUAGACGGAUUAUUUUCCGAUAGGGUAGUGAGUUCCCUCGGAAUGGAUCCCUGUUAGAUUUUUGUUUAGAUGAUUGUCUGAUAGAUUCGAGCACGACAACUUAUCGAUGUUUAAGUUAGGGGAAUCUCAGUGACUUAUGUGAAAGAUACAAAUCCAUGAUUGAACACAAACAUUAAGUUUGCACGAAAAAAAUCAGCUAGUGAGUUUUUUACAGGCUUGUGAAAGAGAAUUUAAGAUAAAUUAUAGAGUACCAAGAUACAACAUAGAUAGAUGAUAUGCAUUACAAGCUGUCUUGACAUCUCCGUUCUUUCUGUGGAGUUUCGAUGUUUAUUUUUUAAGAUGAGGAAAGCACGCGUACACGUCGGACUUUGGAUGCUUCGCCUCAGCGUGCUCCCGGCAUUUCACUUCCGUUGUGGUACACAUGAAUGUUUGCAUACACACCUUGCACUGUUUUCAGGCACCAUCAUAAACCAGUUAUGUUAUCAGAGGAAACCCAAGCAAAGGACGACAAUGAUAUGAACAAGAAACCAAAACCCGAGUCAUGUAUCUGAUAAUGUAGUUCAAUGUGUCUAAAUUCAUUUUGACAGUAUCAACUAGUGAUGUAACAUGAUGAAUGUUCGAAGUUAAGAAAUGUUAUUUCUGGAAUUCUCAAGUGCAUUUAUUACCAAAUUCCACUCAAACAGAACACUAGAAAGGCAGUUUUUGCAAUCAAUGAUUACUUAUAAGAAUUUUAGGAAGGCUCAGACAAUCAUACAAAUUCUUCUCAUCAAUAUUUGUAACUUGAGAAAGUUCAUGCAAGAGAAGCUUAAAUUCAAGUAUUGUGUCUGCUCGUGGUUUUCUUCAAUGGAAGAUGUAGAGAAAAGGCCAAUUCCUCCCUAAAAUGUCUUCCAAGUGUCAUCUGUUGGGAGUCGAUAAAUCCCUCAACAGGUAGGUAUUGCCCUCGGUUGGAAUUUGUCUCCCAACUCUAACGAGAGAUCAAGUGCUUGAGGCAAUGGUUCAUAGAGCGGGAGUAACUUUUCUUCUAAGUGGCAUACACCACGCACGGUCCAUCUCAACGAGGUGCUCCAGCUGUGUGAACCUAUCACCUCAAGCAUUCAAGCUCUCGACUUUCCGAAGACAAACUCUUAUCACUUUGAAGACUUCGGUCUCCCUCGACAAAACAAAAUAAUGACCAAAAGUCUACUGACAAUGAACAAUUGACAAGCGAAAAACACUCUCAAAUCGUAAUUCGCGCGUAGGAACUACGCAAUAAGUUCCCAUGAAACCAUACAAAGCUUUAAUCCAAGAAUCUCUCUCAAGAAUUUCAACAAACACUCUCUUCAAAAUACAUCACAACAAAAAUAGUCAAACUACAAACACAGAAAACUAGCGAAGGAAAUCCCAACUUUUUCAAAGGAAGAUAAACAAAUAAAUCAUAAACCACUGGACAAAAACAACAGAUCAAGCAAAGUAUAGUUUUAAAAUCAAAGAAAGAAAUGAAAACCAGAGCAUCCAAAGAUACUACCUGGAUGGACAUGGCCUUCUUGUUAGACUCAAGCUGGCUUCCUAUCAAAAAACCAAAGCUUAAAGAUCAAUGAUGGAUCUAACUAAAAAGAUGGUCUAAAAAAAACAGACCCAAAGAUUAGCAAAGAGAUGGAGAAAGAAAGAAAAAGUGGAAAGGAAGGAUUUGGGGAGCACCUUUGCCAGCAGCUUUUUGCUUUUCCAAGUUCUUCUCACGGGCCAUCUUGGAUUUUUGGCCAUUUCCUCCUCCCAUGGUGGAUUGAUGAGGGAAAAAAAGAAGGGUUUUUUGAUCGAAUUGGAAGUGAAAACUUGGAAGAGGGAACUAUCAGAGAUGAUUAAGGCAAAAUAAGGGAAAUGGGGGGCAGAAUAGAGACAAGACUAUGAACCACAAAGAAAGUAGAUUCGAAUAAAGUAAUGCAAGUGGGGCCAAAAGGAUAAAGGCUGGAAAUCGCCGAUAAAGGAAAACGCCAACUAGUUGAAUUUAGGUACAUCAGUCAGAUCUGUUACUGUUCUAUAUAUCACCCGAUUGUGAGGUGGAAUUACAGGGUAUUAUGGGGGAGUUUGGGUUCCGAGCGAGUUUAUUUAAGGUAUUUAGAUUAAUUAUUUAAGUUCGAAUUUAGUCAAAAAAUAAUUUUUUUUAUCUAAAUUUAAUCUAAUUUAAAAAAAAAUUAGAUCUAAUUUGAUCCGUAUAUAUUUAAUUUUUUUAAGUUACUUUUGUUAUACAAUUAUAAUAAAAUAUAUAAUAAUUCAGCCUGAAGUCCGACCCGAUAAAUCUCUCUCUAUAUAUAUAUUUAAAGAUUCUCUUUGAGAGGAGGGUACUUCAUACACUCUUUUUCUUUUAUCUUCUUCUUCUCUAUUGCUUCACCAGAAUGUCUUUCCCUUCUUUUUCCACGUACUAAGAAUGAUAAAAUAAAAAUUUUUUAACACAUUAAAAAUUAUUUAUAUUAAAAAAACACUAUCUUAAAUAUAAUAAAUAUUUUUUAUAUUAAAAAACAUAAAUAAAAAUAUUAAAUAUUUUAUUGUAUUAAAUAUAAAUUUUAAAAUUUUAUAUUUUGGUUUAGGUUAUUUAGUUGAAUAAGUUUUUUUAAAAGUUUUGAGUAAUGAGUUUAAUUGUUAUUGGGUUAAUGAUUUAAUAUAAGUAUAAAUAUAUAUAAUUAUUAUUUAACAUAUAUAUAAUUAAUAUAAUAUUAUUUUAUAACAUAAUAUUCGGGCUGAAUCGAGCUCGGGCCAAGAAAAUCUUACUAAAAGCUCAAAUCAUAUAGAAAAUAGACCUUAAUUUUACCUAAGCUCAUUUUUUGGGUGGAUCUUGAGGCUUGGGCUAGCGGUCCAGCCCAUGAGUAGGUCUAGGUGGAAUAAUAAAUAAAUAUUUAAUGUUUGAAUUUAUUUUUUAGUAAAUAAGUACCGUUAAACAAUAUUUUUUAAAUUGAAUUGGUGGUCGAACCGGUUAGGCCAUCAAUUCACUGGUCCAAUCGAUUUAAUUAAAAAAUUAUUAAUUAAAAAUUUUUUUCUAUUCAACUGAUUUAAUCGUUGAUUAACGAUUCAACUGAUUUUUUACUUAAUUUAUACUGAUUCUUAUAUACAAAAAAAUAUAAAAAAUAGUUAUAAUAUUAUAAAAUUUAUAAUUUUAAUCAAGAUAUGUAAAUUUAAAAGAGGGGUAUUUUGAUAGUUUUUAGGGGUGGGCCGAUGCAGGCUUGAUCAAAACUGAGAUCAAUUUCAUCCUGACCCAAAACUCGAUUUUCUUUUCAAUUUCAUCCCCUCUCUAACCAAAUCGGGUUGAAAUCCAAUAGAUUUGGGUUAAUUUGCUAGUCAUCAAUUAUUGCUUGGACCCUGUCAACUCUAAGAUCAACUGGAUCUUCAUCAAUUGCCCUCAAACAUUUUACAUGAAUGUUUCCAAAAAAUAAUAGCAAUUGGAAUUGAAAAAUUAUUUUUGUGUCGUUUUAGUUCGAUUGGUAUCGGUAUUAUUGUCAGUGCAGGAGGAUGUGGGUUCAAGUGCGUUGAAAUGUAUUAUCCUCCUAUUUAAGGGUUGAGAAUGGGCUAUGGGUAGUUUUAGACUUAUUAUAUCAAAAAGAGCAAAUAUGAUUAAUGUUAAAAAAUAGACCCUAAAAACUUGACCAUUUUUUUCUCUUCUUUUUUACUUGAGAAUAUUACGGGUAAAUUUCAAUUCCAAUCCUUCUAUUUUUUAAUUACAAAAAAUGGUUAAAUUUUAAUCUGAUCCCUAUAUUUCACUCAAUUUUGAGAUUUAAUUUAUAUAUUUUAAAAUUGACAUGACUUGAUAUCUCAACUUUUAUAAUGUCAUUGGUUAGUCUAAAUAUUUUUUUCUCGUUAAAACAAUGGUGUGAAUUUUUAAGAAUUGUUAGCACCAUGAAAAAUCUUUGUUAAAUUCGGGUUUAUUACAAUGUUAUUUUUUUGUUAUGUGGAUACCAAUUUAUUUUAUUUUAUUUUUUUGAAAAUGCCACACCAACACAAUAAUUAAGACAAUGUUAACAAAUAGACCUAAAUUUUUAAAUUUGAAAAGUAAAGAGACUAAAUUUUUUAAAAUAAAAAUUUAGAGAUUAAAUUCUAAAUAUACGAAUAAUACAAAAAUUUCAAACAAAUUAUAAUUUUUAAAUUUUUACACUAUAAAUUAAUUAAUAAUUAAUUAAUAAACUCAACAAAAAUUGUGGGUGAAACCAUACUAGUAAGUAGUAACUAUACAUAAAAUGUAUUGGACUUGCUGCCACGUGUCACACCCAACUAUAUUCAUUUUCUAUUCUUUUUGCAUUUUUACCAAAAACUGUUAAAUUUCAGCUUUGGUCCCUUUAAUAGGCCUAAAUUUGAGAUUUAAUCUAUAUACGUUAAUUUCUAAAAUAAUAUGUCCCUUAUAGUUUUAUAAUGUUAUUAUUUAGUACAAAUAGUUAAUAUUGUUUACUUUUUUAUUAAAACAUUAUGUGGUUAUAUAUAAAUUGAAUACCCUAAGUCUUAGAGACUAACUUGUGGCUUCCCAAAAUAUUUGCGUUAUUUUUUCUUUUUUACAUUAUAAGACAAUGGUCAAAUUUUAAUUUUAACCCUAAACUGUAUUGAAACUUGAGAUUUAAUCUAUAUACUUUAUUUAUCUUUUACAUAAUUCGGUCCCUCUAAUUUUAUAAAGUCAUUAGUUUGUCUAAAUAGUUAAUAUUGGUCAACUAUUUCAAUCAAAAUGUUGGCGUCAAUCUAGAAAAAAAUAUUUCAUCAUGACGAUUUUGAAUGGGUAUUUUUAAGAAAAAUUGUAAUAAAUAUUUUCAAUGUUUUUUUUAAUAUAUGGCUACGAAGUGAAUAUAUAUUUUUUAAUUUCAAAAUGUCAUACUUGAGAAUUAAUAAAAGAAAUUUAACGAUGGUAUCAAUUGGACCUGGAAUUUUAAAUCCAAAAAGUAGAUUAGUAUAUUCUCAAAAAUAAAAGUAAGGGGACUAAAUUCCAAAUGUAUGAAGUGUAUAGGGACUUGGAGAAUAUUUUAACAUUUGAAUUUUUUACUUUAUAAUUUGACAUAAACAAAUAAUCAACCCAACACGAAGUGUGGGCUAGGAACCACGCUAGUUUAUAUUGAAUUUUAAGUUCAAGAUAAGUACAACAAAAUUACCUCUAACAUGGUCAAAGACGAAACCAAAAUAAUGUUGAUAAUUAAGAAAUAAAGAAAUAUAUAAUUGUUGAAGGGGUAUCGACUUCUUCCAGAGAUGUCUUCAAUAUGCCGUCCUCUAAGCAACCGACUGAAGCCCCCAACAACCAAAGGUAUUGUCCUUGGGAGAGAGUAUUGUCCCCAGCCUCCGCGAAGAGCCAAUGUGCCGUGAGUGGCUACCCUGAAAGUCUACUUCAUACAUGGGUGCCUCGAUUAUACGUAGACAUAUGACCACUCAUUGAGAGGCAAUGAAAGCAUCUCGCCCUUGGUGGAGUUUAAACCCCUCACCAAUAACAUAUAAGUCACUUAUUGGGGUAUAUCUGACCCAUAUAGAUCACAAUGACAAUCUUUUUUAAUUCAUUUUCUUCUUCUUCUUCUUUAUCAAGCACCGUCAAUUUUAUUUUCUAUCCACAUUUUCGCUGUCAAUUUUUUUAUUCUAUUUUUUCAUUUAACUAAACGUACCUUAAAUGUCAGUUUGAAUAUGACGCGGAGCACGUGUAAAAUACAUGAAUCAAAUUGUAAUUAAAGACAUGUUUAUAAUGUAUUUGUCACAUAAAUAACUUGAAUUUGACAUGUUAAAAGAAACAUAUAGCAUCAUUAAUAGGGGUGAAUUUAGAAAUUUUCUAAACAUUGGAAUUGAAUUAUAAAAUUUUUGAGAGUUCAAAGUGUAAUUUUAUAAUGUAUUAACUUAUAAUUUCAUCAUUUUAAAAAAAUACAUUUUUUUAGAGAUGUAAAGCAUAAUUUUAUCAUUACAAAAUUUUAAUUUAAUCAUUUAUAAUAAAACUAUAAAGAAACUUCUUAGGGGUGGGUUUCAAAGCCCACAUAUCCCCCACAUUGUAUUAUCCUCUUAACGUCCAAUGAAUGUCCGAAAUUAACCUAUAUUAUUUUUUUGGUAAAAAAGUAGCAGAAAUCAGCUACAUCAACAUAGUUCUAAUGAGAAUUUCCCAUGGUUUCGAUUUGCUGAAGAUCAGCUAACAACAAUCCUCUAAUAUUCAUUGGAGGCUAUUUAAAAGUGCAAAUCAUAUUUAAAUCUUCAGCAUCCAUCUUCGCCAAGUAAUCCACAACCUUAUUUUGUUCCAUUGGAAUAUGUCGAAAUUAAUAGCUAAAUUGAUGGAAGGAGCUAAUUAUAUGAAACCAUAUUUUGAAGACUUAAUCAAAAUUCUUUGAAGAUUAGGACCAAAUUAAAAUCUAAAUUAUAAAUUGAGAACCACUGCUGCAAUUAAUCUAAAGAGUAUCAUAUAAAGCCAAAUUUGGCGUUAAAACUUUAAAUUUUCUAUUUAUUUAUCAGUUUCCCACCGUACAAGUUUUUUCCCGCGUUUCUUCGAAGGUUUCUAAUAACUUCUAUUGGUUUCCAUUUCUUAAUCCAAAAUAUAAUUUACAAAGUAUGAAGUUAAUUAUUUUUGUAAAAAAUGGAAGCUUAGUUUGCAAAUCAGAUCAAAACAUUCGGGAUUUUAGCCAUUUUUUCAGGUGAAUUACGAGCGCAUCGGAGUUAUUCUACACUCGAAGGUCGAGUGGGCCGACGACCCGACCCGCAUUCAGGAUUUGGGUCCUUAAUUGAUCGGAAUUACAAUCGCGCCGGAAAUCAUUUCAGUCACCAUAAUCGGAGGCUUGAUUUGGACGGCCGUGAUCCUCUCCGCCGUAUUCUCUACGCUCACGUGGCUUCUCCCUUUCCCUACGCUCAUUGCACAUAAUGUUUUUUUUUCGUUUGGUUGCUUAGAAAAGAAAAACGGAAAAAGGAAAAAAAUAAGUAUACGAAUUAAUAGAUGUUCUUGGAAGUGAAAAUAGAUUGAAUUUUCAUUUUGUUGAAAUAAAUUUUGAUUAAUUAAUUUAUUUUGCUUUGAAAAUCAGUAGCUUAAAGAUAAAUCUAUUAGUUGAAUUACUGAAAGUAGUUAUGAAAUGUAAAAUUUUCUCGAUAAUUUAUCUGAGUUCUGAGCCCUAAGCUAAAUUGCUGUAAAUUUCAUCCAAUAACAUAUAAUAUGUAUACAGAUAGAUAAGAUUGCUUGAUAUUGCAUUACCUUGUGAUUUGCUUUUACUUUGGGGAAAUUACUUAACAGUUAAGUGCAUUGAGCUAGUGUUGCUAGUACCUCUUCUUCAGUAAUGAAUAUUUUGAGUGUCUUUCAGAGAAAUGCUAUAAUGAAUUUGGCUUUGUCAUGCAGCAACCAGUUUGUGUAAGUAGUUCAAGUAGGCCACGUUUAAGUUCGAACUAGCGACUUCCCGGAGUUUUGCUGCGAGUAAGAGGCGCGUCCAUUUCUUCAAACAGGUUGGUGCUUAGAGCUCUCUGCAAGUUUCAAAUUCAUAGCACUUGCAUUGGUUGUAUUUACUGUGAUUAUUUACCUUGUCAAGUAGAGCUAGUAAUUCUGCAAGUUCAUAGCAUUUGCAUUAAUGCACUUAUGGCACUUUUAGUGCUUUUGCUGCACUAGUUGGACUAAAAAUAUAUCCACCAUUCUUGCUUUGACACCAAUUUCCAUUCAACCCGUUUAAAUUCUCGAAGGACAGCAUAUCUAUAACUUUCUCAACUCUACUAGAAUCCAAAUCAUGAUUUUGCUUUUUUGUUCUACUUUUAUUUCGUGGAUAUGUUGAGUGGUGCAAAAUGAUCAAAAGGGGGGCAACUAUUAAACUAUCAACUUGUGUCAUAAUCUGUAUAGGACGAUUCAGUGUCAUAUAUGGUUGAUUGUGAUCCAUUAUUGUUGCUGCAUCCAUAAAAUGAAAUUGUGGGUCUGACUGGGUUUAGCAAUAAGGAAAAGAGGUACCAUGUGAUCUUUUAGGAAGAUAGAUGGCUUGGGUUAUCACCGGUUUAUGCAUAGAUCAAUUUCAUAGGAGUAACCUAAAAUGCACUCUGAUGCAGCAAUUUGUCGGUUGCAUUGUCACUAGUGUAUUCAAUUUUCAAUAAUUGUUUUGGCGCUUGAUACCCUAGCUAUUUUUUUAUAGAAUUGCCUGCUAUAAUCAUCAUGUUUCAACAGACUUUUUUUUGUCCCUCUUUAGACAUUAGAUAUUCUGGUAAAAUUUUGCUAUUAGUCCAUAUACUAUGCACAAGUUGCAAAUUUUUGUACUUAUACUCUAAUUUGGUUAUUUUUAGUCUUUGUACUUUUCAAAUUUUGAAAAUUUAGUCCUGAACAAUGGCUGACAAAUUCAUUAAGUUAAAAUUUGUUAUUUCCAACAUCUUAUGCCACAAACAUAUUAUCACAUUUGUAAUUCUAUGUUAACUUGCUAUUUUCACAUAAUACUUCAAGAAAAUCGUUUCAUAUUAGUUAAUAAAUUUAAUAGCUCUUGUUUGAGUCAAGAUCGAAAUUUUAAAAUUUGAAAAAUAUAAAGAUUAAAAAUGAUCAAUUUGAAGGACGUGGAUUAAAUCCACAAUUUAACGCCAUAGUAUGGAACUAAUAGCAGAAAUUUUAGAGUACAUAGACUAAAACCUGCAACUUACAUAUAGAACAUGGACCAAUAGCAGAAUUUGACCACUUAUUUAUAUUCUUGAACAGAUUAAAUUCACUCUUUUUAUGCUCAAAAAAAAUCUGUCAUUACUUUGAGCCUACUUCUGUUAAUGCAUUAAAUCAGAUAUUUCUUUUGCUACUCCCCAGCUAUUAGUAGUACCAUAAUUUCCAGGCCCACUGCUGCUUGACUUGCAUCACUAACAACCAAAACGGUCCAGUCCCACUGCCGGUGUGCUUCCCAUGUAGUAUAUUAUUGUUAUUUACAUCACUUUCCACUACCACUAUUACCCAGCUAACUUCCUAGUAAAUUAGCAUUUCUAACCAUGUGGACCACUAGAACUUGUGGCACUCAGUAAUGAAGAUAUUUAUGUUUCUGUCUUUCAUUACGCAGUGGACUACUUCAAGGUCCGAACUGCGGUUUAAACAUUUUAUACUUUUUUUCCCUUUUUCGUUUUCUAAUUUACUUAUUUUGUCCUUGUUUUAAUUUUUUGAAUUUUCUUUUGACUGAAUCAGAAAUCAGUAUUUUGAUUGAUUUGAACGUCGAUUUAAUUUUUGUGACACAGCUAUCAUGUAGGCAGAGGUUUCGUUCACUAGACUUGCUUAGAUCUUGGGUUAGAGCUUGUGGGAACUGACCUUACUAUAGAAAAAGCAUAUACUAUCUCUAUUAUGUACCCAGUUGCAAGGUAUUUGAAUUAAAUCCCACUUAAAAAGUAUGAGAUUUUUAGUGAAAUUUAUAUGAACCAUGUUUGUCUCAACUUCAACAACUAGCUUUUGAGGUAUAAUUCUCCAUUGAUCUAUUUUUGUUAGUGCUUCAGUUUCCUUAACAUUGAUAGCGUGUGAACUUUAAAAUGUAAAGUAUCUAUCGGUUUCAAUGUCCCUUUCCUUGCUUGACCAACCUGCCCUACUUGUUUUCCAAAAUGGACUGAAACCAAAUUGUUUUAUGUUGUUGUCAGCUACAGUAUUGGUACUCACCAUGCUCAGAGUCUCAACCUCUAUGUUAAAACCUUUUUCCUUGAAAUUUCCUAGGCAAUUUUGGACACAUAACAUACAUAAAAAACAAUACAAAUAUAUAAUAUUAAUAUAAAAGUAUGUCAAUAGUAAGUUUAAGGUUAAAAUAUAUCAUAAGUCCUCAUGUUUUUCAAAAAUCUAAAAUUUAAUCUUUGUAUUUUGUUAAAUUUAGAUUUAUUAUAAUGUCUUUUUUUUAGUUACAUAGCUAUCAAAUGGAUAUUUUUUUAUUUUAAAAUAUUAUACUAAUAAAUUUAAUAAAAAAAUUUAACUAUAUUAAUAAUUAAAUCUGAAUCUUAAAAUAAAAAAAGUGAUACAAUUACUGAAAUAGGGAUUAAAUUCUAAAUUAGGUAGAAAGAAUUUACCUAAUCUGAUAUGACAUUUAUCAUGAUUUGAAAGUUUUGUAUUAAAAUGCCAAUUUCCCCACACGAGAAAUGUCACAUGUAUCACAACUUGUUAGGAUCAUUAUUUAUAAUAAACAUAAAAGCAGAUGUAAAUCAUAUCCCUCAUUUGACUCUCUAGAGGCAAAAAGAGGGAAGCAUAUUAUACUCCACUUAAUACAUUGAACAUAUACUCUUCCUUUUUCAAUUGUAUAAAAUAUUCAUUUAAGAUAAUCUUUAUCAUGAAGAAAGCUAAAAAGAAACUUAAAGGAAAAAAUGAAAAAAAGGGGAAAAUGAAAGUUUAAGUUUUACAGAAGAUCCUUAUACUAUGAAUUUUUUGUAUAUCUAGUCCUAUAUAAUUUAAUAUUUCUACUCCUAUUUUACCAAACAGGUAUUUUUAGUUUGGAUGUCAACUUUUUCUUCUAAUUUUGCUAAAUAUUAUAAUAGGAUAUAGCACUUGACUGUACAUCUACAUUUUGUACAAUUAGAUAUUAUUUUUGUAUAUUUAGAAAAAGAAUAAAAUUAUAAUAAAGUGUAUAAAAAAAUGCAAAAGUGAUAAUGUAUUUAAAUAUUAAGGUAAAAUUAAUCUCAAGUUAGACCCAUGACAACCCACUACCUCUACCCCUAUAAGCAUUACAAAAAAGUGAUUGAGGGUUAAAAAUUAUCAAAGUAUAGAAAAAGGACUAAAUCCGAAAAAAUGAAAAAUGCAGAGUCCUUUAUGAAAUUUUACCAAAAUGAAAACGGAAACUUAAACGCGGAGAGUACAGCAGUAUUCGGGUCUUUGGUCAUCUUCCUCUUCACGCGGCAUCUUCCUCUUUAAUCGCCAUUUUCGCUUUCUCUCUCAUUAUAUAUCUUUAAAAACCAUUCUUCAACCUAACAAAAAAAACCACAGCAACAAAAAAGAAAACCAUACAAACAAAUCCUAAAAGACUCUCUUUACAACGUAAAGAGCAAAAACCCCAACAGCAAAACGUGUAGUAAUAAGGCAAAAACACGGUAGGGAAGGAAGGUUGUUAAUAUAUACAUAUAAAAGUUAUAACGGAAGAAAGGUCGAACGAUUCAAAAAAACCCAACGAUGGCUAUGAUGUUACGGUCGCUCGCUAGGCCGCUUGAACGUUGCCUUGGGUUAAGGGCCGGUGGGGAUGGUCUCAUGUGGCACACUGAUCUUAAACCUCAUGCUUCGGGCGAGUACUCAAUCGCCGUCGUUCAAGCCAAUAAAAACCUUGAAGAUCAAGGCCAAGUCUUUACAUCUCCUUUAGGUACCUAUGUUGGUGUUUAUGAUGGUCAUGGCGGACCCGAAGCUUCCAGAUUUGUAAACAAGCAUCUUUUCCCAUUUCUCCACAGUAAUUGUUCUUUGACCCUUUUAAUCUUUUUCUUAAUUAUUUUUCUGGGUUUUUUUUUAGAUUAUCUGAAAUGGGGUUUUCUUUGCGUCUAAUUUUUCAAGAUUCAAAUAUUCUUUUGUGUUUUAAUGGUCAAAGAGAAUUUUGGGUUUUUGUCAGUUAAUGAUAUUUUGAACAACUUACAAAGUGUCUAUCAUGCACGUUUAUUUAGUUAUUAUUUGUGUAUCUGAAUGAAUAUGAAUUACUUUGUCUAAAUAUAAAUCUUUAUGCGUUUGAAAUUGGAAUUUGGUUCUCAAGAUUCUAAAACCAUUCAGUUUAAUUUCAAUUUUUGGCACCUUUCACCUCCUUGCUUUAUUGGGUUUUGUCAGUGAAUGGUUGUGUUCUUGUUUUAAUUUUUCUGUCUUAAUUGUAGAAUUUGCUACAGAGCAAGGGGGAUUAUCUGCAGACGUGAUAAAGAAGGCGUUCAAUGCUACUGAAGAAGAGUUUUUACAUUUGGUGAAGCAAUCAUUGCCCGUAAGGCCUCAAAUUGCUUCAGUUGGAUCAUGUUGCCUUGUUGGUGCGAUAUCCAACGAUGUGUUGUAUGUGGCGAAUCUCGGCGACUCGAGAGCAGUUCUUGGCAAAAGAGUUUCGGAGGAUAAGAAAAACAAGGUUGUGGCAGAGAGGCUAUCAACAGAUCACAAUGUUGGAGUUGAGGAAGUGAGGAAAGAGGUUGAGGCUCUUCAUCCUGAUGAUUCGCAUGUCGUGGUUUACACUCGCGGAGUUUGGAGGAUUAAGGGCAUAAUCCAGGUACUUAACAAAAUCUAUUGGCAAACCCAAUUAUAAGAGUUUUAAGUUGAAUCAGACAGGUUGAAGAACAGUUCAUGUUUUGGUUCAAUGAAUUCGAUGGAUAUACAUGUUUCUUUCCAUCAAUUGCUUGUAUGUUUGUAGAAAAGGUAUAUUUACAAAACAAAUAAACAUUGUGCAUCCUCUGAAUCAUAAUGCUAAGCUUAUGUGACUAUAUGGAGUCUUCUCUCUUUUCUUUUUCGGGUUUUUUGGGUUCCUUUUGUUGAUUUCUUUCCCCUUUAACUUCAGCAGUUAAAUGGUUCUCUGUAAUGGAUAAUGUUGGUCUAAGCAUUGAACUUGUUUCUUUAUUCAGGUGUCAAGAUCUAUCGGUGAUGUUUACUUGAAGAAACCCGAUUUUUAUAGAGAUCCAAUCUUUCAACGAUUCGGAAACCCUGUUCCCCUUAAAAGACCAGUUAUCACGGCAGAACCCUCCAUCCUUAUUAGAAAGCUUAAGCCCCAAGACUUAUUUCUGAUAUUUGCAUCAGAUGGCCUAUGGGAACAGUUGAGCGAUGAAACCGCGGUAGACAUUGUUUUCAGAAACCCCCGAGCUGUGAGUAUUUACCUUUGUCUUAUUGGUUAAUUUAGUCUUCAUUAGCAGCUGGACCGAAUGACAGAGUAUUGAUUUUAAGUUUGCUUGUAUUACUUGCAGGGUAUUGCUAAGAGACUGGUAAGUGCCGCACUUAGAGAAGUUGCAAAGAAAAGAGAGAUGAGAUACGGCGAUAUUAAGAAAAUCGAGAAGGGAAUAAGACGGCAUUUCCAUGACGAUAUAACCGUGAUCGUCAUUUACCUAGAUCAACACCGAGGCUCUUCACAUAACAUAGUUAAACAUAAUGCCAUGGGGUGCACGACGGCGCCAGUCGACAUCUAUUCAUACAAUGCAGAUGAAGGAUAUGAAGGAGAUUUACUUCAAACAGUUUCUUGAAUACACAACAGAAUGAGUUAAUAUUAGGUUUAGCACACUGACUUUUUAUUCUUUUUCAAGUCUUAUUCAUGUAUAGAGAAACCAAAUGAUGGGGUGGGAUUGGUUCUUAAACCAAUGUUUCAUUGGGAGAAAAAUCGAGAGUUUGGAAGGUAAUUUUAGUCACCUCAGACGGAUUCCGACACAGGCGGCUAUAGGUGUUCCGGUUGAAGUUCUAACGGUUACCGAAAAGGCUACAUUGUUUUAUUGGUUUAUUAAAUUCAUUGCUUAUAUUAUAUUUAAUUCGAAGUGAGUAACUAAAGACAAUUAAUUACGUUAUUAAUUUUUCUUGUCAAUUAUACAUAAUUUUGAUUGGUGUAAUAACAAAUUUAACCCUUAAUAUUUAUAUAUUUUGUGCAAAUGUUGACAGAAUAUGUAAAUGUUGUAGGUUAAUUUCGUUAAAUCGUGAUUAAAUUGACAGAACAUGUAAGUGUUAUGGGUUAAAUUUGUUAAAUCAAUGUUAAAUUGACAAGAAGUAUAAACUUUAAGGGCGAAUUUUGUUACUAUACCGAUAGAAAAAGUAUAAUUGAUGAAAAAAUAUUGAUGUUAUGAUUAAUGGUCAUUAGUUGCUCACUUUUAAAAUCGACAAGAUUAAAUUGUUAUAGUUUUUUUGAGAGGGACCAAUUUGUUCAAAAUGAAAAUUGAGAAGAAUCAAAAUGUCAUUGUACCUGGUUCUUAUACAUACCAUAUCUAAGUUGUGAAUUUAGUUUUUGUACAUUAAUUUACUCAAUUUCAGUCUCUUUACUUUUUAAAUUUAAAAUUUUAGUUAUGAUUUAGAUUGUAAAUUAAAUUCGUUUCAUUCUAUUAUGUUAUUAGUCUUAUACUAUUAUUACAGUUGUGAAUUUAAUUCAUGUUUUUUAAUUUUAUCAUUUUUAGUCGUUAUACUUUUCAAAUUUUAAUGCAAACGAAAAUAGUUAAAUCCAUUAAACGUAGGUUUUCUAUGUGUGCAAUAUAUGAAAAUAGCAAAUUGCAACUAUUAUUUGAUCGAGACUAAAAUUGAAUAAUACAAAAAAUACAAAAAUUAAAAUUAAAUAAAUUAAAAGAUAGAUAUUAAACUCACAAUUUAUUCAUAUACAUAAACUAAUAACAUAAUUCUUAAUACUCUUAAAUUAAAAACAACACUUAAUAAACUACGAGAGUUAGGUGAGAUGACAAAUAUCUCUCCUAUAUUAACCAGUGGUUGAAAGUUUGAUCCUCGCAUUGGGUAUAGAAUAACUUUAAAAACUCGUAGUCGGCAUCUAUUAUUUUAAUAGACCUAAAAAUGCGGAGAAUUAAUUACUGAACUCGCUCUAAGCAUGACAUAACACGACAAAGUUGGCUUGUAAUUUGUAUAUCUAAACCAAAAGGGAAAAAAUGUUUUGCGAGACAAAUUCCUUAAACUGAAAGACAUGGGAAUUUUGGCAACUAGAUAGCAAUAACCAAACUUGUUAGGUGAAACGAACCAAACUAAAGCACAAAACGACAAUCAGUUGCGCUAAAGUUAGGAUGUCUUGUCACUUUUAAAUUUUUAUUAUACAACUUGCUUCACUAAACAAAUACUAUUUAAUGAACUUUUUAAUAUUCUUACUCUACUUUUCAAUAAUUCAUAAAGCUAAUAAAUAUAUUAUAUUCUUUCAAAUUACUUUUCUUUAAAUUAUUUUUUCUUUAUUUUAAUUGAAAAUUUUUAUUGUAUUAAUUGCAUAAAAAUACUCAAAAUUUUAAUUUAUUCUUUAAUUUCGAAAUAUGUUUAAACGUUAAAACGUUAAUUUUGAUAUGAUGUAAAGUACAUUUAAAAUGCCCGAAUUAAAUUGUAAAUUUAUGUAUACUUACAUCAUUAAUAACUUGGAUCUUACGUAUUAAAAAAAUAGUGUUAAUAAAUUUUAGGAGGGUUAACACUUUUAACUGUUAGAACGAUUUUUUUAAGUAGAAAUCAUGUUGGUACUCUAACUAGAAUGGUUAUACUUUAGUUACUUGGGUUAACUGUUAAUAUUAUAAAAAGUAGAAGAUUAAAUUACAUUAAAUAAAAUUAUGGAGAUUAAAUUUUAAAUUUGAGCACAAUAAAGGGACCAAAACUAUAAUUUAACUCUUUUUAAAUUCAAUAUUUUGUUGAAGGAUUAAAUUGGGGUUGAACUUGAAACCUACUUCUAUAUUGGGGCUUGAACUUUUUUUUUGUCUAAGUUGCUCCCUAAACUUAGCAAUUUUUCUCAUAUUGAAGUUUGAACUAGGCCAUUGUUCUAAGGGGCGAAGCCAAAAUUUUUUUUUUUGGGAGUUGGAAUUAAAUUGUAUAUUUUUAUGGUAGUAAGAAUGUAAUUUUACCAUUUUAAUAGCCUAUGUCAUUAUAAUUUUAAAGGAUUAAAUCAAUUUUGUAUUAUUUAAGAGGUUAAAGUUCAAAUUUAUCAUUACUAAUUUAAAAUUUUAUAAAUUAUAAAAAGUUUAAAUAGAAAAUUUUUCAUUUUAGGGGGAACUGGGGGCCUUGCCAACCUCUCUGGCUUUGCCAUUGAUUGUUUCCAUAUUGGAGCUAAACUUGACAAUUGUUCCUACAUUGAUGCCUAAGUUUUAGGGUUUUCAAAGAAACAUCAUGGAUUAAUUUGGAUCAAAAAAGGUUCAAGCCCCAAUAUAAAAACAAUUACCACAAAAAAAUUCAGGUCUCAAUAUGAAAAUAAUUACCAAUUUCAGGCCCAAAAAGGUGAUUUAACCCUUUGCCCAACCCCAUUCAAGUUACCAAACGAGAGGAAAAUAACAAAUUCCUAGAAAAUCUACAAUUUUGUGCGCUAAAAAAGAAAAUACAAAUAGUCGUUUCAGUAUAAUUUUCUCGGAAAAUAACCAAAACCCAGUCCUUUAAGCUUCAACAUCCAAAGAAAAAAGAAUGACUGCAAGUCAUUUGGUUGCUGAAUCCGUGUGGAAAACAAUAGAGUCAACUCAUUCAGGUCUUUCUUUUUUUCCCCCCUUAUUUAUUCUUUCUAUGUAGAAACUAAAUUCCAUCUUCUUCUUUUUUCCUUUUUUAAAUCCCUAAAUUUUGUGAUCUUAUGACCCAAAUUGGCCAGUAAAUGAAGAGCAACUAUCAAUGUAAGCAAUACUCAUUUUCUUUUAAAUCUUUUAUUCUUGGGCUUUUUAAAAUAAAAAUAAAAAUAAAAAUGGUGGGUAUUGAUUAAUUUUGAAUUUUCUUUUAUUGUAGCUUGCAUUUUCUGUUUGGUAAAAACUUCGAGAGAGCAACAAGGAUAGUUGACCAAAGGGGUGUCAAGAAAAUCUCCGGUGAACCCAGCGGUCGUUUUAUCUUUCAGGUUCAUUCUCUUUGUUGCUAUCUCAAUUUUUGAAUAUUGGUCGAAUUCUCCUAUUAGUCCAUGCACUCUGCAUAAAUUGCAGAUUUAAUCCAUGUUCCUCGAUUUAAUGUUUUUAAUGAUUUGUUUUUCAAAUUGUAAUUUUAGUAUCAUGUUAUAUCUAUUUAAUUUAAUUAUUUUAUUUCAGUUAAUAAAUUUCACUGCUAUUGGAUAUAAGAAUAAAAAUGAUAAAAUUUUAGAACAAAUAUUAAAUCUAUAAGGUUAGGACAGAAAAAUCCAAAUAUUAUAAAAUUAAAAUUGACCAAAUUAAAAUAUGUAGACUAAAUCUGUAAUUUAGACUUAGUAUAUAUACUAAGGGAAGAAUUUGUCAUAGAAUAUUUGGACGAGUUGUCGGCUACCUUAUGUGUAAAAUAUGGUCAUUUUGGCAAAUAUUCCAUUUUAAGAACUUUCCUGGAAACUUUUCUGAAACUGUGAGCCUUGAGAUAAAACCCGAAGCAGAAUUGAGACACAUCAGUAUAUAUCCAUUUGUAUAUCUCAAUAUAUAUAUAUAACAUACGCCUGUCUAGUUAGAAUAUUUGGACAAGUUGUCGGCCACCUUAUCUGUAAAAUGUGAUCAUUUUGGCAAAUAUUCCAUAUUUAAGAACUUUCCUGGAAAAUUUCUGAAACUAUGACCCAUCAAGGCUCUUGGCAGAAUCGUGAGAUAAAACCUGAAGCAGAAUUGAGACACAUCAAUAUAUAUAUCCAUUUGUAUAUCUCAAUAUAUAUAUACAGACGCAUGUGUAGUUAGAAUAUUUGGACAAGUUGUCCUCUACCUUUUCUGUAAAAUGUGAUCAUUUUAGCAAAUAUUCCAUCUUAAGAACUUUCCUGGAAAUUUUUCUUAACUAUGACCCAUCAAGGCUCUUAGCAGAAUGGUGAGAUAAAACCCGAAGCAGAAUUGCGACACUUCAAUAUGUAUCCAAUUGUAUAUCUCAAUAUAUAUAUAUACAUAGGCAUGUCUAGUUAGACUAUUUGGACAAGUUGUCAUCUACCUUAUCUGUAAAAUGUGAUUAUUUUAGCAAAUAUUCCAUCUUAAGAACUUUCCUGGAAAAUUUUCUGAAACUAUGACCCAUCAAGACUCUUAGCAGAGUCGUGAGAUAGAACCCGAAGCAGAGUUGAGACACAUCAAUAUAUAUAUCCAUUUGUUAUAUAUAUACAUACGCAUGUCUAGUUAGAAUAUUUGGUCAAGUUGUCAUCUACCUUAUCUGUAAAAUGUGAUCAUUUUAGCAAAUAUUCCAUCUUAAGAACUUUGCUGGAAAAUUUUCUGAAACUAUGACCCAUCAAGGCUCUUAGCAGAGUCGUGAGAUAAAACCCAAAGCAGAAUUGAGCCACAUCAAUAUAUAUAUAUCCAUUUGUAUAUCUCAAUAUAUAUAUACAUACGCGUGUCUAGUUAGAAUUUUGGACAAGUUGUCAUCAACCUUAUCUGUAAAAUGUGAUCAUUUUAGCAAAUAUUCCAUCUUAAGAACUUUCCUGGAAAUUUUUCUGAAACUUUUUUUUCCCAUUGUUUGGUGCUUUAGGUUGUGGGAGAAUCUAGAAGAAAAGAAGAAUAUUUCUGUUUUGCUGAACAUUAUUGUGCUUGUUAUUCAUUCUUUUAUGAUGUAAUUAACAGAGCAGAACAGCUUUGUGUAAGAUUUCUUUAUUCCUUUAUUCCCCUUAUUUUAUUGCAUUUAAUAUAUAGGUAAAAUUUUUGAAAUUGAGCAAAUUGGUCCCUCUAAAAAAUUAUAGCAAUUUAUCUUUGUCAAUUCCAAAAGUGAGCAACUAAAAAUAAUUAAUCAAGACGUUGAUAUCAUUUGUCAAUUGUACAUAGUUUUGAUUGGUAUAAUAACAAAUUUAGCCUUGUUAUUUACAUGUUUAUACAAAUAUUGAGUUGCAUUUAUUAAAUCAGGACAAAAUUGAAAGAAUAUGUAACUUUGAGAGCUAAAUUAUUUAUUAUACCAAUCAAAUUUAUGUACAAUUGAUGAUCAAAAUAUUAAUGUUGUGAUUAAUUAUUCUUAGUUGCUCACUUUUGAAUUAAAACGGAUUAAAUUACUUCAAAUUUUUUAGAGGAUUCAAUAUGCUCAAUUUACUUAAAUUUUUUUAGAGGAUUCAAUAUGUUCAAUUUUAAAAUUAAAAGGGAUUAAAUUACUUUAAUUUUUUUAGAAGAUUCAAUAUGCUCAAUUUCAAAAUUGAGAGGGACUCACCUAUAUAUAUUUGCUGUAUUUUCAUAUUUUGUUUUGCUUUUGUGUAGUGUAAGCAUCAAUUAGCUGCAAGGCUUGCUGGAUCAUUGGGAGCUUGUAUUGAAGUUAAAGUGUCUGAUGAACAGCUAGCUGUAUUACUUUCUGAGCUCUAAAUUUUUGUAGUAAAAUCGUAGCGGGUCGGAUCCGAAAUUUAAUCUAGUUGGUUCAUGCAGUUACAUUUAAAGAAAUGACAUUCAAUAAAUAUGAUUCAAUUUUUGAUAAAUAAAAAUAUUGUUUGUAUGUUUAACAACAAAAAGAAUGAACAAAUUAUAAUCAUCAAAUCAAGGAACAAUAUUGUGAGUUUUCAUCUUUUUAAUCCAUGAAUUGAACGACGUUUUCGAGUUUCGGAACCCGACAAAUCCAUGUUCUUUGCUCUUGUUCAUGCUAUCCAACAGUGACUUCCCCGAAAGCACCGAAUCAACGAACUGCCAUGCUCCGGCAUUGCUCAAUUUCAUCGGCAAAAGACCGUUCUCCCUCACGAUGUUGUCCCACACCGGACCUUUGUCUUUCAUCAUUUCAACCAAGCUUGGCACCUUCUCUUCGGUUUCUUGAAAUCCGUAGUGUUCGAUACCGAACUGGUCAGCUAACACUUUCCAUAAGUCCUUCCACUUAAACACAUCUCCAUUGCUACAAUUAAAGGCUUCGUUUUUCGCUCGCCGGCUCAUUGCUGCCCAUAUUUGAUGUUCUGCAAUCAAAUCCGCAUCCGAUGCAUCCCAGUACCCUUCCCACGCUUGUCGGUUCCCCGGAAACCUCAACGGCUCGCUUUCAUGCUUACAUAUCGACGCGUAAAUGCAUAAACUCCGAACUAUAUUCAUCGAACUAAACGGAGAAAACCCAAAAACCAAUCCCGGCCUAUGAACAGACCAUGUCAAGUUCUCCUUCUGCUUCACUUCUUCCAACAAAACAUCCUCGAGCGUAUAACACAAGUUUGACGACUUAAGCCUCGGAAGAUCCUCGCGAAAAGGAGGAUCAUGGGGCUGAACAUGAUAUUUUCCGUACAAAUCAAUCGGACCGGUGUAAUGCCGACGACCGGUUUGCAAGCAUAUAUGUUUCAACUUGGGUGAAUUCGGGAUUACCGCUUUCAACACGUUCCGUAACAUAGUACCAUUGAUAACGCAGUUUUCAUCUUCAGUUGAUCUCUUAUCCCAUGCAACAUAAAACACAUGAGUCACAUCGUUAAGCUUUGAUAAUUUAUCACAUGUUUCUUCUUCAUCUAAAACAUCGCAUUGUAUGUACUCAAUAGGCAAAUGACUAGUCGAGGCUGGUCGAGGCUGACGAGCAACACCGUAGACCUUCCACGGUCCGCCGGGAAUACCGGAGAACGGAAGAAUCUCGGCGAGACUGUUACCGACUAUGCCGGUGAUGCCAAUGACCAAAGCAACACUCUUGUACUUGGAUUGUUUAUCAUGUUCUUCCAUUUUCUUCUGUAAAAAAAAAAAAAAUCUGGGUUCAUUAGAUUAAAUGCAGAGAAAGAGAACCCAAAAAAAUGAAUGAGCAUUAACGUACCUUGGCAGCACCAAUGGCUCCUGCCCACCACCAACUCAUUGUAUGUUUUUCUUUUGCUGUUAAUGAAAAAAAAUGCUGAAUUACAUCCUUAAACUUUGUCUGCAAUGUUUUUAUAGUGAUCCGCUUUGAUAAAAGUGACGUCUGGGAAUUUAAAAAAGGAAAAAAAAACCAAUCUUAUCUAUUUACAUGUAUCAACUACAGCUCAACAAGAACUUGUUAUCAAUUUGAUUUCUUUAUAAUAAUAAUAAUAAUAAUAAUUUUAGUUGGGAUAAAUUACAAGAAUAGUCACUCUUGUUUGUCUUAGAUUAUAUUUUAGUCAAUUAUGUUAUCGUUUUGUUACGAAGUGGUCACUCUACCGCUAAACUCCGUUACCUCCCUAGCGGUAGUUCUACGUGACAGUUAAAAUUAAAUUUAUUUAAUUAAAAACAUAUUUUCAUCCCAGUAGCUGGACAUCCAAGUUGGCAUUUAAAACAUGUUUGGAUUGCUACGUAGGACAAUCGUUAGGGAGGUAACGGAGCUUAACGGUAGAGCGACCAUUUCAUAACAAAAUGAUAACAUAUGUGACUAAAAUAUAACAUUUUAAACAUAAAUGAUUAAAAUGUAAUAUGAUUCAAACAAAAGUAACUAUUUUUAUAGUUUACCAUUUUAUUUUUAAUUUGUUUGAAUAAACAUGGAUACAACACAUAUAUUUUAUAUAAAAUAAUUUAAGUGGCGGAAUUUUUUAAAAGAAAAUCAGAAAGGACGUGGAAAAUGGGUUAAUUGGUGAAUAUGUGUAAAUCCUUCAAUAAUUGAAUUGGUCAGCCAACACUUAAAGACUAAGGAUUAGACAGCUAGUAAACACAUCAGCAUAUAAUCAAGCUUGCGUGGAGAACCUAGCGUGUAAGGAAACAAUACAUCCUUAUCUAUUCACUAAAUCUUCUAAUGCUAUGAAAAAAAAGGAUAGAAUUUUGUGAAUUUUAUAAUUGGAAAGUUUAAGGAUAGGAAAUUAAUAUGAAAUUUGGCUUUUUUGUUUUUUUAAUUUGUAUUCCAAGUUAGUUUUUUACUAUUUAAGUCAAACAUUUCUAUUGGGUAUUGUUAAAUUAACAUGAGUAUUAUUGUUAAUAUAGAGGAAUGUGUGUUUGAGUGCGUUGAAGUGUUAGGUCUGUUCUUGACGUUUUUGGGCCUUAACAAAACAAUAAAAUGGGUUUCAAGUUCCUUAAAAGUUGAAGAAAAAAAAUUUGGUCCCUAAAAGUUGGUAAAAAAAAUUUGGCCUUUAAAAGUUAAAAAUAAGAAUUUUGGGCCCCUUAACAAUUGGAGAAUAAUAUUUUAGACCCCUUUCAGCCUUGGGCUCUGGGAAGCCGCACCUCUAGACGACCUCUAGAGCCAGGCCUGUGAAGCGCAUUAUCCUCUUAUUUAUGGGUUGGAGUAUAAUCAGAACCUAUAAUGAGAUUGUUAAAAAAAAUUUUAAAACAAAAAAGUUUUAAGAUGGAUUGUGAAUUUAAGGUUUUUUUUUAAUGGUUACAAGUUGCUUGGAAACAAAAUAUUAGUAAAUCAGAAUAGAAAAAUAAAUAAAUAAAUAAAUUGAAAACAAUUAGUCUCUCGAUAUGAUAAAUUAAUUUUGUUUAACAUUCGUUGUAACGACGGUUAGAAAGAAAACAAGCAGCGAAAAAAAUAAAAGAAGAAAAGAAUUGACACAACCGAUCUUUGUUAAUACAGUUUAGACACAGUGGUCCUAUAUUUGCGGAGCCUCUCCCAGUGAAUGAUUUUAUUCAACAAUCGUUCGGAUCACCUAUUGGCUUAAGCCCGAUUACCUUUACACAAAGAAAUAAUUCAAGCUUCAAUAUUGACCCCAAUUGUCACAAAUCACUCACCCAAAUACCUCACAAUAUGAUAGACUUUAAACUCCUAUUUAAAAGUUGAAAUUAUCCCAUUAAUUAUCUUUAGUACCCCAGGGUGAAUCAAACUCAGUAUAAACGAAACCUAUUUAAGGCCCAAGUCAAUAACUUAAGUAGAGAAACAGUUUCGUUAUAAUUGGACAUAAAACAAACAGCAAUUUUCCCAACAAAAACAUAAUGGGGAGAGCGAGACUUAUUCCUAAGUUGGCAAAUGCAAUUGCUCAGCUGUUUGUUUCAUGCAAAACUUAGUUGGCAAUUAACAAAUUCAAAUAGGCUCAACAUCUUUAACCUAUGGAUAGAAUUUCUAAUGCCAAUUUGAAUUCCUUCCUUCCAAGAAAUCCUUCAACAUUUUUAUCUCUUUGUGCAAGCAUUAUUGUAACAAGUCCAUCUUCUUAACUUUCACUAGAGAAUCUGUGGUGAUAUGGAGUUUACAGUAAACCCUAUUCGAAUGGGGAGUAACAAUCCUCUUUUGUCCGAUGAUUCUUUUGUUUUGGGUAAGAAUUCCAAAAUUCAUUUUACAAAGAGUAAACGAAAGUUGUGUUAUUGUUUAUGGGAAUACAUGAAAGUAAUCUAGAGUCGAGCAUUUUAUACCAUUUGUCUUAUAGAAUUUUGGGUUAACUUCGUUUGGUCGGUAAAUUUGACGAUAUAUGUCAUGUUAAUCUUUCUAAAAAAGUAAAUGGUGAAUUACAUUAAUGGUUAUCUAAUUAUGAUUUUUUUUUAUCACCCAACCAUAAAAAAUUACAAAAUAGUUAGUCAAUUAUUAGUAUUUUUUUUAUCAUCCAAUUAUAAAAAAGUGACAAAAUAAUCUUCAUUUUCAUGUUAACCGACUAAUAACUAAAAAAUUAAUUGAAUAAUUAGAUGAUCAUUUUGUAAAAUUUUCAUAGUUAGGUGAUAAAUGAAACUAUAAUCUGAGUGUCCUCUAUUAUAGUUUUGAGUAUAUAAAUAAUAAAAUUGCACAUCCUAUUUGAUAUUUUUGAGCAAAAGAAAAGAAAAGAAUAAUGAACUUGGAUACAUGGUAUUAGAGCGACUUAUGAUUGCAAUUGCACAUCCUAUAUGAUAUUUUUUUAGCAAAAAAAAAAAAGAGAAAAGAAUAAUAACCUUAAAUACAUGGUAUUAGAGCGACCUAUGAUUGCAAUUCCACAUUGACUUCCCAUAGGAUGGAUCAAUAGGUACUCCAAGUCAAACUCCUAAAGUGUGCAGUAGGAGAAAAUAACAACAAAACCCAUGACAAACGCAACACGAGUUUAGAUGGAGAAGAAUAUUAAGCGAAACACUAAAAAAAUUAGAUAACAUUAUUAAUCCCAUAUCAAAAAACAAAUAAGAAAACAAGUAGACUUGUACGCUCUAGGAAAGCAUAUGACUAAUAUCACUAGGGGGGUUUAGCUAGGUACAGCUGAUGGUCCCAAGUUGAAAGGGACUCUUGAGUAUCGCUGAUGUUUUGACCUUAGUCCUAUAUAAUAGGGGCAAAACACUAUCUAUCCGGCGCGUCCACACCCAAUGAGAUAGAUUUUUGGUCACCUAGACUGAAUGGUCUAUGGACGCCUCUAAUCCAGCUGACUUAUCCUAUUUUAUACACAAAAAUGUUGAAAUCUCUAAAUAAUGAAGAGUAAACUAAAAUCAAAUAGCUUCCAUUAACAAGACAUGGGGUUAGAGCUUAGGGUUUAGAAUUAAUAAAGAAUCAUGAUUGCAAGCCAAACCUGGAUCAUUCAUAUACAUUAGAUGACAAUGAUAUCUCUAUAAGUUUUAGCAUUAAAACUAGGUUUGAGGAAACAUCAAAACAGAAAAUCCAAUUUGCAGACAUAAAAUACUUCAUUAAUUACAUUAACAAAAAGCUUAUCAAACAUUCCUUUGGAAAACAAUUUUGCAAAGACACUGUUAACUGCACAUAAUGAUUUAUAUUUGACUUGUAUAAAAGCAAUUGUACAUACCUUUUCAAGAUUUUCAAUUCCCCUCUUUCUUGUUUCAUCUGCUAUAUAAUACAAAAUUCCCCAUCAGCUACAUGCAUAGCUAAAUAGAGCUUUAGGCAUUCAAAAAGCUAAAGAACACAUGUUGGCCUCGAGGAAACACACAGAACCGUGCACAACGUCACAUUUCCACUUUCUCAGCAUGCUCGAAUUGAUGAACACAACGAACAGUGCUAACACAAUACUAAAAAGGUUUUCUUUAUGGAAGACAACUUUCUAUGACCAUUUUUCCACGACACGCUCUGAUAAUCUAAUUUCCUCAUCCUUGGAAAUAUGUGGAUCUAGCUUCUGAAGGUUGUCAAUAAAUGUCUUUGCCUCAUCACGCUGAUUGAGUUUACAAUAUCCAUCAACUAUGGAAUUGUAUGUAUUCUGGUUUGGUUUACAGCCGUGCUUGAUCAUGAAUUGGACAACAUCUAUGGCUUCCUCAAACAAGGAAUCAGCUGCAUAGCUUGCAACAAAGGUAUUGUAAGUGAUAACAUCUGGAACAAGGCCAGAAUCACCCAUUUCUGAAAAUAUCCGAGAAGCCUCUUUCAUUCGACCGUUUCUACAAUAGGCAUAAAUAACAGUGUUAUACGAGAUUAUAUCUGGUUUUAUUCCUUUUGCCUGAACUUCCCUUAAAAUUUGUUCUGAUUCCUCGAACUUUUCAGAGCGGCUAUACAUAUACAUCAAACUGUUGUAGGUCGUCAAGCUCGGAGUAUACCCACACUCAUUCAUGAAGUUCAAGAUCUCAUUUGUCUUGGAAACCAUCUGCCUCCUGCCAUAUAUUGAGAGCAUGGCAUUUAGAGUAGUUAUGUCAGGUGGAAAUCCUUUCUUCCUCAAUUCCAAGAAAGCACGCUCUGUAUCCGCAAGAAGGUCGCAUUUACUAUUAACCAAAACAAGAGUCUUUAACAGCACAGCAUGAGGUUCGAUGAUACCGGAGUAUAUCUCUUCCGCUAGGGCAUGCAUCCGAUCUACCUGCUUCCCAUUGGCAUAAACAUGAAGCAAAGAACAGUAGGUUAGCUCAUUGGGUUUGCAACGACCGUCUCUCAUUUCAGCCAGUAUUUUCUCAGACUGCUUCCAAAGCCCUCCCCGUGCCAAUGCCGCCAAAACAGCAUUAUAUGUAGAAAGGUCGGGGGUAACUCCAGCUUCCAGCAUUCUCUUAUAAAUAGCCAUGGCUUGAUCAAAAGCACCACAGCGACUGUAUGCACUAAUUAAAGUGUUGAAUGUGUCCCUUUCAGGUACAAACCCUGCCCUCUUCAUCUCCUUGAACACUCCAGACACUUCUACAUCCAUUCCAUUUUGCCCAAAUACUGCCAGUAGUGUAUUCCAAGUAACAAUAUCCGGUGCACCAUUGCAUGCCUUGAUCUCGUCAAAAAUCUUCAUCAUCUCAGUGAACUUCCCGCGGUUACCGUGCAUCUUAAUUAGAGCAUUGAAAGUGCAAAUAUUCGGCUUGCAACCAGAAGUUCUCAUCUCCUCAAAAACCGCCAUUGCAGACUCAUCUUUUCCGGCCUUGGCAAAUCCCGACAAAAGAGUGGUAUAGGUAAAAACAUCAGGCUUAAUCCCUUUUCCCUCCAUCUGUGUUUUCAAGUCCAUUGCUUCCUGCAACAGACCAUCCCUAGCAUAAGCGGAAAUCAACGAAUUAUAAGUCACAGUGCUAGGGGCAAACCCAUUAAGCUCCAUCUCUUUUAAAACCUCCAUAGCUUCCUUCGGACGCCGAGACUUACCAUAAACAUCCAACAAUGCAUUGUAAGUAACAUUAUCUGGAGUAAAACCAGCCAAUUUCAUUUCAUCGAAAACCGAAGCCGCUUCCUCAUGCAAAGACCCUCGACGACAGCUACUUAUAAGCGUAUUAUAAGUAUAAGCAUCAGGGGCAAUUCCAUCACUUUUCAUUCCAUCAAAAAGAGCCAUGACCUUACUCCAAGGCAUGCCCAUUUUACCAUACACAUUCAAAACCACAUUAUAAGUUAUCAAAGUAGGUUUACAACCCUCUUCCUCCAUUUUCUUAAAAACCACCAUGGCUUCCCUAUACCUCCCACUACCAGCAUAAGCAGUUAUCAAUGAAGUAUAAGCAUAAACAUCAAGACUAAACCCUUCUUUGUGCAAACCAUUAAACAAAUUAGCUGCAACAGAAACCCUCCCCUCUUUCCCUAACAUACUAAUAAUAAUAGCAACAACAGAGCUAUUCAACACCAAUCCACAAUCAUUUCUAGCUCUAACCCAAUUGAAAACACCCAAAGCCAAGUUAGAUUUCUUGUAAAAACCCAAAGCUUUAACAAUUCCCACCACUUCCGCAGCCAAAAAAUCAGCUUUCACAUCUGGGUUUUCUUGGUAUUGCUCAAACAACUUACUCAAAACAACAUCAAGUUGAUUAGAAUCAAAAGAAGGUUCAAUUAAGGAAUUAAGAACCUGCUGACCUUGAGCAGAGAGGUUGUUAUGAGUCCAACGCUUCCCACGGUUGACGUCACGUGACCGGCCGAGACGGUUCCGGGUCCGGACUUGUGGGUCGAUGGGUUGUUGGGACUUAGAAUUAUGUCGAAGAAGGAGGUCUUGAAAGACUGGAGUCGAGGGAGCAGGUGAAUUGGGUUGUGAAGUUGGGUUUUGUUGAGUGAAGUGAGUUUGGUUUGAUAAUGGGGUUUUAACAGGUGGGGGAUUUGGAAGGAGAAGAGGGAGAGCAAGCCUCUCUGCCAUUAAAGAGAGGAUAAGAAAGUUGCAGCCUUUGUAUCUAUGGUUGAGUUAGAAACAGAGAGGGAGAAAAAGAAAAGGGUAAUUGAUAAUUUUAGUGCGCUUUCGUUAUUACUUGCAGAGUCCACAACUUUUUUUUUUAGAAGUCUAAGGCUUAAAGGGGGACAUGACAAAGAUAUGCGGAGGAUAUUUUAGGAGGUAAAAGGGAGAUUAUAUUCUUCUGUGGUUAAGAAUGAACUAUUGAAAUACUAUGACCAAUAAAAGGUUGCCACGUAAACUCUGAAAGCGGACUCUUAAGUCAAAAUUGGUGACGUUUGCCCUCUUCAAAAUUAGUUCGAUUAGACAAAUUAUACUUAUUUAAACAUUUUCUCUUUUAUUUUUAUAUAAAAAUUAAUUUAAAGUGAAGCUUAAUAUUAUUAUAUUAAUAAUAUUUUUUAUUUUAAAAAAUAUUUAAAAUUAAUAAAAUAUUUAUAAUUUUCAAUAUUAUUAAUCAUACUUAUUUAAUUAUCUAUUUCUAAUCAUAUUAAUAACUUAUUAUUUUAAUAAUUUAUUUAAUAAUUUAAUUUUAUUUUAAAAAUAAAUUUGAAAAAUAAUAAUUUUAAAUAAUAUUCUUCAUAUAGUAUUGAAAAAUAUUCAAUGUUAAUAUUUUAAUAAUAAAUAUUUAUUACAAUUAUAAAUAUAUUACAGAUAAAUAUUUUGUAGUAUAAAUGUUAAAAUAUGUCAUAAAUAUAUAUACUCCUCACAAAUUUGAAAUUUAGUCCCUAUUCUUUUAUUUUCAAGAAUUUAAUCAUUCUACUGUUCAUAUUUAAAAAUCAAGUCCAAUUGUUAACAUUGUUAAAUUUUUUUUGUCAAUUUUGUUGAUGUCAAUUUUUAAAUAAAAAAUACUUGAUAUUCAUGUAACUAAAAGAUGACGUUACAAUUAACAUGAAUUUAACAAAAUAUUUUUAAUAAUGCUAUCAGAUGAACCUUAAUUUUGAUAUAUAAAAGGUAGGACUAACCCAAAAAUAAAAGCACAUGGACUAAAUUUCAAAUUUACGAAAAGUACAAUGACUUAUGACAUAUUUUAACCUAGUAUAAAAAUAUGAAUAUUUUAAUUAUAUAAAUUUGAAUAUUUGUUUAAGUAAUGUUUAGCUUCAUUUAUCCUUUACAACUCUAAUGUGUCAAUAUCUAUUCUCACAUAUCUAAUAUAUAUAAUUAAAAUUAAGUUUUAAUUAAGCAUUAUUUAUUAUUAAGUUUAUAUAUGACACUGAUUAUUACAAAAUAUUUUCUUAUUAUAAAAUAAAUUUCAAUUGUUAAAAGGAAAUUGCACUGUAAUAUUUUAUAACAAAUAUAUUUAUGUCAUGUUUGUUUUACAAAGAACAAUGUAAAAUAUAAAUUUAUAGAUAUAAAAUAAACUCAAUUAAACAAUGAAAAUAUAAGAAAAUCUCAUAUGUAUGUUUGUUUCAUUGAAAACAACUUUUAUGAAAUAUUUAUAGUAAAUCUGUCAAAUAACAGAAAAUAUUAAUUUUUCAAAAAAGUAAGUCAUUUUCCAGAAAUCAUUUUUCGGAAGUCAUUUUCAGUGAAACAAAUGGAACCUAAACUUGAAAAUCGUAAGUUAACUUGAUAUUUUUUUAGGCACCUAAUACUAUUAAAAUAUACUGACAUAACACUGACGAUCAAUUGGAUGGUGACACGUGAUAACCUCACAUUUUUUAUUAUAAAUAUUAUAUUUUUUUAUUUUGCCACGUGUCAAAAUAUAAGGCUAUCACGUGUCACCAUUCUAUUAGUAGUCAACGUCACAUCAGCGUAUUUUAAUGAUGUUAGUCAAGUAGCUAAAAAAACACAAAGUUGACUUAUAAUUUUUAAGUUUAGGUACCAGUCAGGGCCAAAAUUAAACUAUGUAAUUGAUAUUUAUGUCAUUAUUGUUGUUUAUUUGUGUAACUAAGAAUUGAUGACUUUAUUGUUUCAACCACUAAUUCGGUUUCCAAAAAACAUUGAUUCAAAGGAAACUAACCUAAACCGAACUAUAUAAUUGAUGUUUAUGCCAUUAUUAUAUAUGUGUUUAUAAUAACUAGAAUCGAUAACUUAACCGUUUCAACCACCUCUUCCAACUUCUAAAAAAAACAUUGGUAAAUGGAAGUUAGAUUAUUUUCAAAUCUUCAAGCUUUAUAAGUUAUUGAAUCGAGUGAUAAAAUACUUAUUAAUUCAUAAAAAGUUGAUGAAUCGUUUGAAAAGAAAGAAAAAGAAAAAGAAAAACCAAUGCUAAAAAAUGCUUGUUUCUUAUUUAGAAGUCCAAUUCAACUCAAGUUGUGUUUAGUAUUACUUUUAAGAAGUAUUUUUGAGAAAAAAAUACUUUUGAGAUAAAAACAUUAUUAAAUAAAAUGCUAAAUUGACCCGCAAUCGAUACCUGUGGGNNNNNNNNNNNNNNNNNNNNNNNNNNNNNNNNNNNNNNNNNNNNNNNNNNNNNNNNNNNNNNNNNNNNNNNNNNNNNNNNNNNNNNNNNNNNNNNNNNNNNNNNNNNNNNNNNNNNNNNNNNNNNNNNNNNNNNNNNNNNNNNNNNNNNNNNNNNNNNNNNNNNNNNNNNNNNNNNNNNNNNNNNNNNNNNNNNNNNNNNNNNNNNNNNNNNNNNNNNNNNNNNNNNNNNNNNNNNNNNNNNNNNNNNNNNNNNNNNNNNNNNNNNNNNNNNNNNNNNNNNNNNNNNNNNNNNNNNNNNNNNNNNNNNNNNNNNNNNNNNNNNNNNNNNNNNNNNNNNNNNNNNNNNNNNNNNNNNNNNNNNNNNNNNNNNNNNNNNNNNNNNNNNNNNNNNNNNNNNNNNNNNNNNNNNNNNNNNNNNNNNNNNNNNNNNNNNNNNNNNNNNNNNNNNNNNNNNNNNNNNNNNNNNNNNNNNNNNNNNNNNNNNNNNNNNNNNNNNNNNAAUAUAUCUUAAAUUUUAUUUUAUUGUAAUUUUAUAUGAAUUGAUUAUAAUUUUAAUUGACCGAAUAUAUAUCCUUUAUUAUUUAUAUUAUAUUUGUACUUGUAAUUUUUUUAAAAAUUUAAAUUAAACAUGCCCUUUUUUUAAAAAUGUAAAUAUAAAUAUUUGUUUAUAUUAUAAUGUGUUUAUAAUAAGAGUCAGAUUAUAUAUAUAUAUAUUUGUAAUAGAGUCAGAUUAUAUUUUACAUCUUCUGUUCGAAAAAAUUGGAAAAUUAAUCAACAGAUAAAAAUUAAAUCUAUUCUUAUUAUUAAAAAUUAUUUAAUUUCUGAAAAAAUUCUUAUAGGUAACCUUUUAGAUCUUUUUUAGCUGUGUUUAUUAAAAAAAAUAAAAAAAUAUAAAAGUAGUUUUUUUAGAGUAAAUGUAAAACUUUAAAAUAAUUGUAAUAUGUAAAAUUAAAAAUAUUAAACUAUUUACAACCGUCGGAUUAAAAAUGAUAUAUUUUUGAAUGAUGAUGAAGAUCGAUUCCUGAUGUAUAUAAAUACUGCCUUCUAUUCCCUUCAGUCUUCGCUUCACCCACUUUCUCAUUUCACACGGGUUGUGGCGUAGUUUAAGCAGAGAGGGUGCGCAGGAUAAAGCUAUUCACCAUUGUUUCAACAUGAAGGUUUGUAAUAAAAAUUUGUUUCUAUCAGCAUUGCUUUGCAUUGCUGUUGCAGGAGUUUUGGGUCAAGCUCCUAGUAAUCCUCCUACGUCUACGCCGGCGCCACCCACACCACCGGCUUCUACUCCUCCUCCGACGACUCAAGCACCGCCUACACCAACCGCCACUCCGCCACCGGUUUCUACUCCUCCUCCCACUUCAUCACCGCCCCCAGUGACAGCUUCUCCACCCCCAGUUUCAACUCCUCCACCCAGUUCUCCUCCUCCUGCAACUCCACCACCUGCUUCUCCUCCUCCUGCAACUCCACCUCCAGCUUCUCCACCUCCUGCCACUCCUCCACCAGCUUCUCCACCUCCCGCCACUCCACCACCUGCAACCCCACCGCCAGCAACUCCUCCUCCUGCUACCCCACCACCAGCUCCAUUGGCUUCUCCUCCAGCCACAGUCCCAGCUAUCUCUCCAGUACAAACACCAUUGACAUCGCCACCAGCUCCGCCGACCGAGGCCCCAGCACCUACCCUCGGGGCUGCUACGCCAGGUCCAGCUGGAACUGACACGGUACAUUUUCUCUUAUUCCACCAUUUUAUAUCCUUCUUCUCCACCUACGAUCAAGCUUUAUUAUCGGUUGAAAUUUAAGCCUUUACAGCAAGACUUAAAAUAUAAUUUUAUUAAUGGUUUUAUAAUAUUAAAUUAUAAUUUUAUCAUUCUUACACAUUAAUAUAUAAUGUGAUAAAAUUUUUUACUUUGGGUACCGUGCCAACUUCCUAACGUCGCCCUUAAUCUUACAUAAACAACGAUCUGAGCUUGUCUCGAUAUUAGCUAACCCUUAAGCCAUUAGAGAUGGCUAUUGGUUCCGUCUCGACAUACCUUCAACAUAAUCUGAUUUAAAAUUAAAUACUUAUAUCUAUUUUUUAACACAAUAUUUAAAAUUAUCUAUAAUUUCUUCUCAACUUAUAAUUAAAAUAACAAUACUUCAGCGUAUUCAAAUUUACGUACCUAUGUUAAUCUAAUUUGACAAUAAUAUUUAUGUUAAUUGAAUUAAAGCUUGAGAUAUUAAAUUUAAUUAAGA